UACGGCGAGUGAAGCGGCAAAAGCUCAAAUUUGAAAUCUGGUACCUUCGGUGCCCGAGUUGUAAUUUGGAGAGGGCAACUUUGGGGCCGUUCCUUGUCUAUGUUCCUUGGAACAGGACGUCAUAGAGGGUGAGAAUCCCGUGUGGCGAGGAGUGCGGUUCUUUGUAAAGUGCCUUCGAAGAGUCGAGUUGUUUGGGAAUGCAGCUCUAAGUGGGUGGUAAAUUCCAUCUAAAGCUAAAUAUUGGCGAGAGACCGAUAGCGAACAAGUACAGUGAUGGAAAGAUGAAAAGAACUUUGAAAAGAGAGUGAAAAAGUACGUGAAAUUGUUGAAAGGGAAGGGCAUUUGAUCAGACAUGGUGUUUUGUGCCCUCUGCUCCUUGUGGGUGGGGGAAUCUCGCAUUUCACUGGGCCAGCAUCAGUUUUGGUGGCAGGAUAAAUCCAUAGGAAUGUAGCUUGCCUCGGUAAGUAUUAUAGCCUGUGGGAAUACUGCCAGCUGGGACUGAGGACUGCGACGUAAGUCAAGGAUGCUGGCAUAAUGGUUAUAUGCCGCCCGUCUU
rnacentral:rRNA from 1 species